rnacentral:rRNA from 1 species
UAGGGAAUAUUGGGCAAUGGACGAGAGUCUGACCCAGCCAUGCCGCGUGCAGGAAGACGGCGUUCUGCGUUGUAAACUGCUUUUAUCUGGGAAGAAAAAGCCCCUGCGGGGGAAAUUGCCGGUACCAGAUGAAUAAGCACCGGCUAACUCCGUGCCAGCAGCCGCGGUAAUACGGAGGGUGCAAGCGUUGUCCGGAUUUAUUGGGUUUAAAGGGUGCGUAGGCGGCUAUUUAAGUCAGUGGUGAAAGACUCCGGCUCAACCGGAGCAGUGCCAUUGAUACUGGGUAGCUUGAGUAUUGGAGGGGUACAUGGAAUUGAUGGUGUAGCGGUGAAAUGCAUAGAUACCAUCAGGAACACCGAUAGCGAAGGCAUUGUACUGGCCAAUAACUGACGCUGAUGCACGAAAGCAUGGGUAGCGAACA